GUUGAACGCUGGCGGCAGGCCUAACACAUGCAAGUCGAGCGGAGGAAGGGAGCUUGCUCCUGGAUUCAGCGGCGGACGGGUGAGUAAUGCCUAGGAAUCUGCCUGGUAGUGGGGGAUAACGUCCGGAAACGGGCGCUAAUACCGCAUACGUCCUGAGGGAGAAAGUGGGGGAUCUUCGGACCUCACGCUAUCAGAUGAGCCUAGGUCGGAUUAGCUAGUUGGUGGGGUAAAGGCCUACCAAGGCGACGAUCCGUAACUGGUCUGAGAGGAUGAUCAGUCACACUGGAACUGGGACACGGUCCAGACUCCUACGGGAGGCAGCAGUGGGGAAUAUUGGACGAUGGGCGAAAGCCUGAUCCAGCCAUGCCGCGUGUGUGAAGAAGGUCUUCGGAUUGUAAAGCACUUUAAGUUGGGAGGAAGGGCAGUAAGUUAAUACCUUGCUGUUUUGACGUUACCAACAGAAUAAGCACCGGCUAACUUCGUG
rnacentral:rRNA from 1 species